rnacentral:rRNA from 1 species
GACGAACGCUGGCGGCGUGCCUAAUACAUGCAAGUCGAGCGGACGGAUGGGAGCUUGCUCCCAGACCGUCAGCGGCGGACGGGUGAGUAACACGUGGGCAACCUGCCUGUAAGACUGGGAUAACUCCGGGAAACCGGGGCUAAUACCGGAUAACUCUUUCCCUCACAUGAGGGAAAGCUGAAAGAUGGCAUCUCGCUAUCACUUACAGAUGGGCCCGCGGCGCUUUAGCUAGUUGGUGAGGUAACGGCUCACCAAGGCGACGAUGCGUAGCCGACCUGAGAGGGUGAUCGGCCACACUGGGACUGAGACACGGCCCAGACUCCUACGGGAGGCAGCAGUAGGGAAUCUUCCGCAAUGGACGAAAGUCUGACGGAGCAACGCCGCGUGAGUGAUGAAGGUUUUCGGAUCGUAAAACUCUGUUGUCAGGGAAGAACAAGUACCGGAGUAACUGCCGGUACCUUGACGGUACCUGACCAGAAAGCCACGGCUAACUACGUG